rnacentral:rRNA from 1 species
AAACUUUCAACAACGGAUCUCUUGGUUCUGGCAUCGAUGAAGAACGCAGCGAAAUGCGAUACGUAAUGUGAAUUGCAGAAUUCAGUGAAUCAUCGAAUCUUUGAACGCACAUUGCGCCCGCCAGCACUCUGGCGGGCAUGCCUGUUCGAGCGUCAUUU